AGCUAGGAACUGAAUAUCUGGUGCAGCCGCUUGGCCGUGCUGAAGACGAAGAGCAUUCCAGUGACUUCGAGCCAGAAGAAAAUGGUGAUGGUGCUGAGGACGAGGAGAUUGAGGAUGACGAUGCUGAGGAUGGUGAGGAUCCUGUCAAGGCGCAAUCCUCAUCAAAGAGGAAGAGGUCUGGUGGGGAGGAUGAAGAUGAUGACGACGGUGAUGAUGAUGGUGAUGAUGAUGAGAAGCCUCCAUCAAAGCGAUAGUCAAUUUGUUCGUGCUGAUCUGUGAUCUUCUCUGCUUGGGCCAAGAAGGAAAAUAAUCCUCAUGGAGAGGAUUGUUGGUAAAUGCUGUAGCUUUAGGACAUCUGUGGUAGGUGUAGCAGCUCAAACUUGAGUCUACCCAUGUUAGUUGUUAGUGCAUACUGCUGAUGUUGAUUAACAGCCUCCGGGAACUUCUGUAUGAGCAUUAGAUAUGGGGCUUGUUAUAUGCUUGUGUAGCUUCUGAUUAAAACCUUUGGAAUGUGGAUGCUCUGUUCUGAAUCUUGUUUUCAUGAUAUUUCUCUUGAACUAGCUUGCUGUUAUUUU
rnacentral:lncRNA from 1 species